rnacentral:rRNA from 1 species
AACGAACGCUGGCGGCAUGCCUAACACAUGCAAGUCGAACGAGACCUUCGGGUCUAGUGGCGCACGGGUGCGUAACGCGUGGGAACCUGCCUUUAGGUUCGGAAUAACUCAGAGAAAUUUGAGCUAAUACCGGAUAAUGUCUUCGGACCAAAGAUUUAUCGCCUUUAGAUGGGCCCGCGUUGGAUUAGCUAGUUGGUGGGGUAAAGGCCUACCAAGGCGACGAUCCUUAGCUGGUCUGAGAGGAUGAUCAGCCACACUGGGACUGAGACACGGCCCAGACUCCUACGGGAGGCAGCAGUGGGGGAAUAAUUGGACAAUGGGCGAAAAGGCCCUAGAUCCAGCAAUGCCGCGUGAGUGAUG